rnacentral:rRNA from 1 species
AUUGAACGCUGGCGGCAGGCCUAACACAUGCAAGUCGAGCGAGCGGCGGACGGGUGAGUAAUGUCUGGGAAACUGCCUGAUGGAGGGGGAUAACUACUGGAAACGGUAGCUAAUAACGCAUACCAUCAGAUGUGCCCAGAUGGGAUGAGCGAGGAGGUGGGGUAACGGCUCACCUAGGCGACGAUCCCUAGCUGGUCUGAGAGGAGGACCAGCCACACUGGAACGGAGACACGGUCCAGACUCCUACGUGAGGCAGCAGUGGGGAAUAUUGCACAAUGGGCGCAAGCCUGAGGCAGCCAUGCCGCGUGUGUGAAGAAGGCCUUCGGGUUGUAAAGCACGUUCAGCGGGGAGGCGUUACCCGCAGAAGAAGCACCGGCUAACUCCGUGCCAGCAGCCGCGGUAAUUC